rnacentral:tRNA from 2 species
UUAACUGAAACCAAAAAGAGGUAUAUUAUUGUUAAUAAUAAAACUGAAUUUUAAUAAUUCCAGUUAAA